GAAAAGCAGGGGAUCGCAAGACCUUGCGCUUUUGGAGCGGCCGAUGCCUGAUUAGCUUGUUGGUAAGGUAAAAGCUUACCAAGGCUUCGAUCAGUAGCUGGUCUGAGAGGACGACCAGCCACACUGGGACUGAGACACGGCCCAGACUCCUACGGGAGGCAGCAGUGGGGAAUUUUGGACAAUGGGGGCAACCCUGAUCCAGCCAUGCCGCGUGAGUGAAGAAGGCCUUCGGGUUGUAAAGCUCUUUCAGCCGGAACGAAACGGUUACGGUUAAUACCCGUGACUACUGACGGUACCGGAAGAAGAAGCACCGGCUAACUACGUGCCAGCAGCCGCGGUAAUACGUAGGGUGCGAGCGUUAAUCGGAAUUACUGGGCGUAAAGCGUGCGCAGGUGGUUUGUAAGUCAG
rnacentral:rRNA from 1 species